AAUCUUCCGCAAUGGACGAAAGUCUGACGGAUCAACGCCGCGUGAGUGAUGAAGGNCUNNGCAUCNUNAAACUCUGCCGUUACNNNNNAACAAGUAUCGAUCGAAUAGGGCGGUACCUUGACCGUACCUAACCAGAAUGCCACGGCUAACUACGUGCCAGCAGCCGCGGUAAUACGUAGGUGGCGAGCGUUAUCCGGAAUUAUUGGGCGUAAAGCGCGCGGAGGCGGUUUCUUAAGACUGAUGUGAAAGCCCACAGCUCAACCGUGGAGGGUCAUUGGAAACUGAGAAGCUUGAGUGCAGAAGAGGAGAGUGGAAUUCCAUGUGUAGCGGUGAAAUGCGUAGAGAUGUGGAGGAACGCCAGAGGCGAAGGCGACCCUCUGGUCUGCAACUGACGCUGAGGCGCGAAAGCGUGGGGAGCGAACA
rnacentral:rRNA from 1 species